rnacentral:lncRNA from 1 species
ACCAAACAUCAGAAGUUCCUUUCAAGGUCGUGAUACUAAACGCGUAGUCCUAAUAUGUAAAGUCUUGCUUGAAAAUGCUCCGAGCACCUGGCUGUGGAAGGUAGAAUGAAAAUUGCAACAACAAAUUCUUAACUCUAAUAGAAUAUUAACUAAAUUUUAAUCAGACCAUAAUAAUGCUAAGCAAGCUUUAAUCAAAUUCAAAGAAAUAUCAAAAGAAUUACAAAGAAAUAAUAAGAAAUCUUAAAGAAAUAUUAGAAUGAUCACAAAUAUAUCUCAAAUACAUCUCAAUUUAAUCUUAAUUUAAUCUUAGUUAAAAUCCUAUUGGACUUCAUUCAAACUUUAUGCCAAAAACUAACCAAAUCUUAAAUCUUAAAAAAACUCAAAUAAAAUCUUAAAUCUUAAAUCAAAUCUUAAUCAAACCCUAAAUUCUAAAUCAAAUUUUAAAUCCUAAACCAAACUCCAACUAAAUCUUAAAUCCUAAACCAAAUCCUAAUCCUAAAUCAAAUCCUAACCAAUCCUAAAUUAAAUCCUAAAUCCUAAACCAAACCCUAAAUCCUAAACCAAAUUCUAAUCUUAAAUCAAAUCCUAGCCAAUCCUAAAUCAAAUCCUAACCAAAUCCUAAUCCUAAAUCCUAAAACAAAUCCUAAUCAAAUCCUAAUCCUAAAUCAAAACCUAACCAAACUUUAAUUUUAAAUCAAAUCCUAACCAAAUCCUAAUCCUAAAUCAAAUCCUAAUCAAAUCCUAAAUCAAAUCCUAAAUCCUAAACCAAAUCCUAACCAAAUCCUAACUCUAAAUCAAACCCUAACCAAACCCUAAUCCUAAAUCAAAUCCUAAUCAAAUCCUAAUCCUAAACCAAUCUCUAAUCCCAAAUCAAAUCCUAACCAAAUCCUAACCCUAUAUCAAACCCUAACCAAAUCUUAAUCCUAAAUAAAACCCUUAACAAAUCUUAAUCUUAAAUCAAACCCUAACCAAACUCUAAACCAAACCCUAAACCGUAAAUUAAAUCCUGGUAAUUCCUACAACAGAUUUAUACUUCAAUUAUUAAUGAAUGAACCAUUGAU